UAAGCGCCCCGCCUGGGGAGUACGGCCGCAAGGCUAAAACUCAAAGGAAUUGACGGGGGCCCGCACAAGCGGCGGAGCAUGUGGAUUAAUUCGAUGCAACGCGAAGAACCUUACCUGGGCUUGACAUAUGCAGGAUCGGCGUAGUGAUACGUUUUCCCUUGUGGUCUGUAUACAGGUGGUGCAUGGUUGUCGUCAGCUCGUGUCGUGAGAUGUUGGGUUAAGUCCCGCAACGAGCGCAACCCUUGUCUUAUGUUGCCAGCACGUGAUGGUGGGGACUCAUGAGAGACUGCCGGGGUUA
rnacentral:rRNA from 2 species